rnacentral:rRNA from 1 species
UCAUCUCCGGGGGUAGAGCACUGUUUCGGCAAGGGGGUCAUCCCGACUUACCAACCCGAUGCAAACUGCGAAUACCGGAGAAUGUUAUCACGGGAGACACACGGCGGGUGCUAACGUCCGUCGUGAAGAGGGAAACAACCCAGACCGCCAGCUAAGGUCCCAAAGUCAUGGUUAAGUGGGAAACGAUGUGGGAAGGCCCAGACAGCCAGGAUGUUGGCUUAGAAGCAGCCAUCAUUUAAAGAAAGCGUAAUAGCUCACUGGUCGAGUCGGCCUGCGCGGAAGAUGUAACGGGGCUAAACCAUGCACCGAAGCUGCGGCAGCGACGCUUAUGCGUUGUUGGGUAGGGGAGCGUUCUGUAAGCCUGUGAAGGUGUGCUGUGAGGCAUGCUGGAGGUAUCAGAAGUGCGAAUGCUGACAUAAGUAACGAUAAAGCGGGUGAAAAGCCCGCUCGCCGGAAGACCAAGGGUUCCUGUCCAACGUUAAUCGGGGCAGGGUGAGUCGACCCCUAAGGCGAGGCCGAAAGGCGUAGUCGAUGGGAAACAGGUUAAUAUUCCUGUACUUGGUGUUACUGCGAAGGGGGGACGGAGAAGGCUAUGUUGGCCGGGCGACGGUUGUCCCGGUUUAAGCGUGUAGGCUGGUUUUCCAGGCAAAUCCGGAAAAUCAAGGCUGAGGCGUGAUGACGAGGCACUACGGUGCUGAAGCAACAAAUGCCCUGCUUCCAGGAAAAGCCUCUAAGCAUCAGGUAACAUCAAAUCGUACCCCAAACCGACACAGGUGGUCAGGUAGAGAAUACCAAGGCGCUUGAGAGAACUCGGGUGAAGGAACUAGGCAAAAUGGUGCCGUAACUUCGGGAGAAGGCACGCUGAUAUGUAGGUGAAGUCCCUCGCGGAUGGAGCUGAAAUCAGUCGAAGAUACCAGCUGGCUGCAACUGUUUAUUAAAAACACAGCACUGUGCAAACACGAAAGUGGACGUAUACGGUGUGACGCCUGCCCGGUGCCGGAAGGUUAAUUGAUGGGGUCAGCGCAAGCGAAGCUCUUGAUCGAAGCCCCGGUAAACGGCGGCCGUAACUAUAACGGUCCUAAGGUAGCGAAAUUCCUUGUCGGGUAAGUUCCGACCUGCACGAAUGGCGUAAUGAUGGCCAGGCUGUCUCCACCCGAGACUCAGUGAAAUUGAACUCGCUGUGAAGAUGCAGUGUACCCGCGGCAAGACGGAAAGACCCCGUGAACCUUUACUAUAGCUUGACACUGAACAUUGAGCCUUGAUGUGUAGGAUAGGUGGGAGGCUUAGAAGUGUGGACGCCAGUCUGCAUGGAGCCGACCUUGAAAUACCACCCUUUAAUGUUUGAUGUUCUAACGUUGACCCGUAAUCCGGGUUGCGGACAGUGUCUGGUGGGUAGUUUGACUGGGGCGGUCUCCUCCUAAAGAGUAACGGAGGAGCACGAAGGUUGGCUAAUCCUGGUCGGACAUCAGGAGGUUAGUGCAAUGGCAUAAGCCAGCUUGACUGCGAGCGUGACGGCGCGAGCAGGUGCGAAAGCAGGUCAUAGUGAUCCGGUGGUUCUGAAUGGAAGGGCCAUCGCUCAACGGAUAAAAGGUACUCCGGGGAUAACAGGCUGAUACCGCCCAAGAGUUCAUAUCGACGGCGGUGUUUGGCACCUCGAUGUCGGCUCAUCACAUCCUGGGGCUGAAGUAGGUCCCAAGGGUAUGGCUGUUCGCCAUUUAAAGUGGUACGCGAGCUGGGUUUAGAACGUCGUGAGACAGUUCGGUCCCUAUCUGCCGUGGGCGCUGGAGAACUGAGGGGGGCUGCUCCUAGUACGAGAGGACCGGAGUGGACGCAUCACUGGUGUUCGGGUUGUCAUGCCAAUGGCACUGCCCGGUAGCUAAAUGCGGAAGAGAUAAGUGCUGAAAGCAUCUAAGCACGAAACUUGCCCCGAGAUGAGUUCUCCCUGACNGUCCUGAAGGAACGUUGAAGACGACGACGUUGAUAGGCCGGGUGUGUAAGCGCAGCGAUGCGUUGAGCUAACCGGUACUAAUGAACCGUGAGGCUUAACCUU